GACAAGGAUUAUUGAUCCAGAACGAUCCUAUUAAGCUCUUACAAUCUAUCAGUGAUAUCUAGCAAUAUGUAGUAACAAUCCAGCAGAACCAAAAUAGAACUUCUAGGUGUAGUUAAUGUAUGAUAUAGUCCCUCUAUUAUGAGUCCGGACUAGAUGGUAGAUUAUGAAUAAAUCAUCAAACCUCAUCACCAGUCAUAUGAUAGAUCCAAUUAGCUCAAGUCCAAUAGUAAUUUCAAAUAAAUUUUUUUUUCAUCAAUCACACUGCUAUGGCCAUAGAGUUGUGGACUCAGUUUCUCAAAUCUCAUAGAACUACUCUUCUCUAUCA
rnacentral:lncRNA from 1 species